UAAAGACACAAAGCUGAAACAAUUUAAAGCAUCAAAUGAAAGUACUACUUCCAAUACACUUGAGACAUAGACAAAGCAAUUGGAAAUUUGGAAUGUGGAAGACAAUGUAUCAAAACACAUCCAUUACACAGCAAUAUAGAAUGCACAUGGUGAGAACAGAAGCACCCUCAUUGACAGGUCAAAGUCAAGAUAUAUCAUAACAGUAACCAUGACUCCAUAAAUGAUUAGAGGGUCAGACUUCGAAUUUGGAAGUUCUAGCAGGUAAUCACCAGUUUACUUCAGUAGAAAAUGUUGCAGGUUGGAAAUAUAUUAUCACCUGUCAAAAGUCAA
rnacentral:misc_RNA from 1 species